AACACAAAUACAUUACCGCUCUCAGCUCAAUGGUUACCUGUGACAAACCUAUGGGAAUUCGAAACCUCAACAACAUUUCCAGGUUUGUCUCAAUUCCUCAUUCUUCUUCCACCCUUUUAUUUUCUCAUUUCUUCUCCAAAACCCUAUUUUCGUUCACCCUUUUCCACUCACAAAGUUCCUUUCUUUAUUCAACUGGGUCUUCCCCUACUUGCUUUUUCAAACCCCCUUUUGAUGAUAACCACAUAUACUUGAAGAAGUUUAGUUUUCAAUUUCUUAUUACUCCUUCAAGGUACUUUUGUUCUUACCCUUUUUCUUAUUAUAAAGGUAAACCAUAUGCUACUUCAAAACAAGUUUCUGAAAUCAUUAGAUUGAUAUGUGAGGGUGUUAAUGAUUUAGAUUAUAGGUUAAAUAUGAUGAAUGUGUCUUUGUCUAUGUCGUCGGUUAUUUAUAUUUUCGAUAAGUUAGCAAGCGAAAGAGUUUCGGCAUUGUUGUUCUUUGAUUGGCUUAAUGUUUCACAUACUGAGCUUUGUUGUGAUCCUGAGAUAGGUGGGUUGAUUGUGGAAAAUUGUGGGUUGGUGGGUAAUUUUGAUGCAAUGGUUGCAAUUUUGAACGAGUUUAACCGAAAAAAGAUGUGUUUGGGAAGAAGGGCAUUUAGGUUUUUGGUUGUUUUGAGGUUGGAUAAGGAUUCUAGUAUGGAAUGUGUGAGGAGAGUUAUUGAUGUGCUUAAUAAGGUUGGUGGGGUGUGUCGAAAUUCAGGAGUUCAGUUGUUGAUAGAGAUAUUUUGUUUUUCGGGUUCUUUUGAUAUGGCAGAGUUUGUGAUAGAAGAAGCCGGGAGGAAGGUGAAUCAUUAUAAUUUUUUGUUGAGGAUGAUGUGCAAGAGAGGGGAUUUCGAAAGAGUGUGUGAUUUGGUAAAGAAGAUGAAGAGAAGUGGCGCAGAACCGAAUGGAAGUACUUAUAGUUUGUUGGUUAGUUGUCUAUUCAAUAUCGAUAACUUUGUUGGCACUUGCCAAGUUAUCGAGACUAUGGAAAAAGACGACGGUUUACCGGAUGAGUUUACUUUCGAUACUCUUAUUAGGUUAUCAUGUAAACAUGGACAAAUUGAUUUAGCUUUGAAGUUUCUUGAUAAAAUGACUUUGAAGGGUAUUGAACCUUGUAGUUUAACUCAUGCUGCAGUGAUAAAGUUUUAUUUUGAAUCGGGAAAAUACGAUGCAGCGUACGAGUAUGUGGCUGAUUCUGCUGGUAAGUAUAGCUAUUCCAGCAAUGAAAACUACACCUUACUUGCUUCUCUUCAUUUAAAGAAAGGAAAUGUUCUACUUUCUCAAAGGAUUCUUUAUGAGAUGAUGGAUAAGGGUCUUAAACCUAAUUAUUCAGUGUAUACAAAGGUAAGAAAGCGUCUUGAGAAGAAAAAUAGAAAAGAUUUGUCUUUGGAAUUAUCAAGAAGGUACUUGAGCUUGAUUGAAAAAUGAACAACAUGAUGCUGGAUUUUGUGUGACGAGUUUCCGUAAUGUCAUCUGGGGUUUGCUUAAUAGCUACUCGGCAUCCAAAGGGGUUCAGCCAUUGAUAUUUGCUUCGGUUUUUUUCCUGGUAUUCAGCAGCAUGCACUGCAUUUGGGACAACAAUUUGUCCUGAAGGGUUCAAGAUUUAAAGAAGCCGCGGCGGAAUAAUUGUGAUUAGAGCUUAACUUGGCAAUGAUGUAAGCUUCUACAAUAGAGAAGAACUUUAUAGUGUAGGAGGAAGGGUAAAAAGCUCUUAAUCCUGUGUUUUAUUUCUGUGGUAUCCUUAGGUUGUUAAGUUAGUUUUCUGUCAUUGUAUUGUUAGCUAGUUAGUUAGGUUGUAUAACUGAUUUUGUUAUCCUUUAAAUAGAGGGAUGUAAUCAGCUUUAGGCAUCUUUGAAUUUUUCAUUAGAAUUUGACUAGUCUCUAGUGUAUCAUUUUAUUUGGUUAUCGAUAAAUUUCGGGAGGAAUAAACUUCCUUUUUAUUUGGUCCGACUUGCUGGAUACAAUGGUGAGUGCAAUGGAAAAUCAAGUGAACGCGUUGGAAAGGAUGGCCUGCAAAAGGACAGGUGUUAGCAGAUUUGAAGGCUAACGUCGACUGUGUUACUACAGUAUUACCAUACAUGGAGCAGAUCAAGAACUUGCUUUUGGACCUCAAAAAAAGCAAGGUUACUGAAGAGGAUGAAAGUUUCGAAGUCAACAAAAAGCAGAAGAAUGAUGACAACAAGCGGGAAGGUUCGAGUGACGACAAUGAGGAAAGACCUCGCUCUUGGGUCAAGAAGGUAGGGCUACCAACAUUCGAAGGGAGUGAUCGAUGGAUAGCUUGUGCCGAUAAAUUUUUUGAAGUGCAAUGUAGAAAUCUAUAGAAUGUGAUGUAUCUACACACUCUGAUGUUUUGCUGUGAUAGCUCUAUGUGGUGUACUGGUAUAGUGGUUUUGUACUUUUUGUACCUAUUCUGGUUUUUUAAUAACACUUUUAGCAUUUUUCACAUAAAAAAAAACCUUGUCUUUGGUAUCA